CCCGCGGCUAGGCUUUCAGUCGCGCGCCAGGGCUCCUCUAUAUACAGGCGACCCCGCCUCGCGCUUCCAGAUCACUCAGCGCGCGGAAGCAGACGGGCGCUUGCUGCUGGGGAGGGCUCGCGUGUGCAUGCAGCGCCCCGUCCCGUUUGCUGGCUGGGCGGGGGCGCUGUAGAGGGGGCGGCUUUUCGGGGAGCGUGGGCCAUCCAGGUAAGGGGAGCAGGAUUUCUUCUUCUGUAGGGGCAGCGGGGAGUGUGGCUAGGGGCUCACGGUUGCUUUGCACAGGCCACCAGGAUAGCUGCUGGGGCGUUAAGUUGGGUUACCCAGUGAGUGCUCUUGGUGCUCAUUAUAAGUCUGUUGUACUGCAAAUUGGGGAAGACCUGCAAGUGCUUUCUGACCGUAUACGUUUAAGGUUUCUUUGGGACAUAUUUUUCCCUUCCCUUUCGCUGGUGUAAAUACAGUAAAUUGGAAGUUAUUUAAUUAAAAUCUUUUGGGUUCCAUCAAUGUCAGAAUUUAGCCCAAAGAUCAGAAAGGCCCUAAUAAAGAUGUUGUACCUUGGUGUGAAAGCCACUUUACACUAGAGCUCUUUAUUGCCAACAUAUUUUUUUUUCUUUCUGUUGCUCUCCUGCAGAUUGUUCUGUACCAGCCUGCUUGACUUUUGCCCCAGUUAGUGCCUUUGCUAUGGCAUCUGUGCCUUCAGCUGGCUGCCUCCUGGCUAAGAAUCAGUACUACAGAACUCGAUUGAAUUCUGAAUCCAGUGUUUCGUCAGGCAGUUCAUCCUUCUGUUCUGAUCCCGUGACCUUCUCAGACCAGGGUAAAGCCCAUCAUGGGUUACCUGAAUUAUUUGAUAAAUGCUGGUGGAUAAAAAACUUUUUCCACUCUGAACCAUCUUCUUCUCCAAACGUAAAUGGAAAAACAAUAUCGACCAGCAGGUAAGUCUUGCUUCUUGAAUGAUGGAGAUCAUUUACUUGUUUUAUUUUUCUUCUUUACUUUUACUGAUUGGAAUACCCCCCUCCUUUCCCCUGCACUCCACACCAACUUUAGGGAUACAAUAUCUUGAUGUUGAUUUAAGUUAAAUGUAGUGGAAAUGCAAGGUCACAGCUGAAUGCCUGUGGAAAUUUCCACUUGUUUCUUGUUAGUGAAGUUAGUUAAGUCCUACAAAAGUUUACAGUAAGCAGAGAAUAGUGACCGUAACUAUUCUGAUUGCUUGAAGUGAUAAAGCAAUAUUUUGUUU
rnacentral:lncRNA from 1 species